GAUGAACGCUGGCGGCGUGCUUAACACAUGCAAGUCGAACGAAACACCUUAUUUGAUUUUCUUCGGAACUGAAGAUUUGGUGAUUGAGUGGCGGACGGGUGAGUAACGCGUGGGUAACCUACCCUGUACAGGGGGAUAACAGUCAGAAAUGACUGCUAAUACCGCAUAAGACCACAGCACCGCAUGGUGCAGGGGUAAAAACUCCGGUGGUACAGGAUGGACCCGCGUCUGAUUAGCUGGUUGGUGAGGU
rnacentral:rRNA from 1 species